rnacentral:rRNA from 1 species
ACGGCCAUCCCAUGAUAAAAGCACCGGUUCUCGUCCGAUCACCGAAGUUAAGAUUAUCGGGCGGGUCAGUACUUGGGGGGGGACCACCUGGGAACACCACGU